rnacentral:tRNA from 1 species
ACUAUUUAGGCAGAUUAUUGCAAUAAAUUUAGAAUUUAUAUAUGGUUUUACCAAAUAGUA